UCACCUUGCCCAUCCCUACCAUCUUCCCCCAGGUGCUUCUGCUGGGAGCACCUCCCGCACCUGCCAGUGGAGACAGCGCCAACGCAGGACACGACCUGCAUCAUCUGCAUGGAGCCCGUGGGACUCAGCAGGUCGUACUGCACCAUGGUGUGCCCAGCCUGCCAACACGCCUGGUUCCACCGGGCCUGCAUCCAGGGCAUGGCCAAGAGUGCUGGGCUUCGCUGCUUCCAGUGCCCUCUGUGCAGAGACAGAGACAUCUUUAUUCAAGAAAUGAUCAAUCUGGGGAUCCACAUCCCAGCCAG